UUCCCCCUGCUGUCUCUCUGCCUCGUUAGUCCUGAUCCCGCUCACCUGUGUUGCUCCCGCCCCGCUUGUUAGUCCCUGUGUAUAUGUAUGCCUGCUUGUCUCUCCAGUCUUUGUCACGUCCUUGCGUCUAAAGUUGAGUGUUCCUGCUUGUUCCCUGUCUUCGUAGUUCUGGAUUAUUCCCUGUGUUUUGGAUCGCCUUGUGUUCUGGACUACCUUUGUUGGACUUUGCCUCGAGCUCCUUAUGUGUUUGAAGUCAGGUUUGAAGAGACCAAUCAGGGCUCGGUUACCGUGGGCUGAUGGUGGAUCCAGUCGGUACCCUGACCCGCAGACAAACCUGUCGCUGUCUCCUCCCCCACAAGUGGGUCUGAGGGCCGUCCACAUACUUUUGGCCACAUGCCAGCAGCUUCUGCAGCUGGACAGGUGAAAGGUGUCAGGUGACCACCCGGACCAGUUUUCACCACUGCAGAGUCCCAGGUUCUGGUUCUGUUCAUCAGGUGAUCACUGUGUGUUGAUCAGUUUCUGGGAUGAAGUCAGACACGGCAGGUUUGAUGCUGAAUCAAGCUUUAUUCAAAAUGACCAUGCAGCACAAUAACAGGUCCUUGCUUUGACUUUUGGGAAAAUAAAAAUGUUGUGAAUUCACA